rnacentral:rRNA from 1 species
GACGAACGCUGGCGGCGUGCUUAACACAUGCAAGUCGAACGAAGUGGCGAACGGGUGAGUAAUACGUGGGUAACCUGCCCUCCUUUUUGGGAUAAGCCUUGGAAACGGGGUCUAAUACCGACUAAAGGGGGAUGGGCUCGCGGCCUAUCAGCUUGUUGGUGGGGUGAUGGCCUACCAAGGCGGUGACGGGUAGCCGGCCUGGGAGGAUGAUCCGCCACACUGGUAUUGAGACACGGCCCAGACUCCUACGGGAGUCAGCAGUGGGUAAUUUUGGACAAUGGGCGCAAGCCUGAUCCAGCCAUGCCGCGUGUCUGAAGAAGGCCUUCGGGUUGUAAAGGACUUUUGUUAGGAAAACGGUACCUAAAGAAUAAGCACCGGCUAACUACGUGCCAGCAGCCGCGGUAAGUC